GGUUAAGCGAGACCAAAAAAAAAAAUGACCUAAGGCAAAAAUAAAGAAAAAACUAAAAUUCACUUUCCUCUUUUUCUCUAAGGGAAAACCCGAUCUAACACUUCCCCUCUCUCUAUUCUUGAGCCAUCGUCGAUGAGAGGAGAGUCUGGGAAAUGAAGAACGUACCUGAAGGAAAGAACCUAUAGAGAGAAUUUUCUGGGUUCGUGCGCAACGAAUCGCCAUUAGAGAAGACAUUUCUCUGAGAUUUUGGGGCUGUGGAGUUAGAAAUGAUACCAAUCGAAUCGUCAUUGCAAAGAGUUCCUUCAAGCUUUCUAAUCCUCUCGUUGAAAGAGUUAGCUCAAGCUUAUGAAGUGCUUAGUGAUCCGGAGAAGCGUGAGAUUUAUGACGAGUAUGGUGACGAUGCACUCAAGGAAGGAUUGAUAGAUGAUGAACAAGGAAGAUCCUCUCAAUUCAGUGAGGAUUUUCUUCUAAGCAAUCCAUGUGAUGGAGGAGACAGCUCCUUGCUUACUCUUUCUGGGGACGCUUCUUCUGAUCUUGACCUUGGCUGUCCUAAUGACAACUUCUCCUUAACAGAGCAAUUGGAACUGCAGUUUUUGUCUGAUGAGCUUGAGUUAGGCAUCACAGACCGUGCUGAAACCCAAGACUUGAUGAGAUCUACCAAGUGAAUCAUGGCCAAAACUGUGUUCCUGCAUCAAUGUCUGUUACUGCAGAGCCUUCUCUAGGAUCAGCAGUUAACCACAUACCAGGAAUGAGAUGGAGUCCUGAGCUCCAUGAGCUUUUUCUAGAGGCCGUGAACAAGCUUGAAGGGCCUGAAAAGAUUUUACUAUCAAGAUAUCUGGUCUGUAAAUAUACAAUGAAAAUGUUAGUGUUUUGCUGAAUUCAUAUUCCGGUCGUGCCCUUAAACUCCUUGAUGACUCAGAGGGUAAAAUCAAUUUGACAGAGAGGGAAAUGUUGGAGAAAUCAUCUCAGUUAGCUAUGGAGAGAAAUAAAAGAAAAGAACUCUAUAAUGCUUACAAGAAGCUGACAUCCAAAUAUAAGUUUGUCUGCAAAAGAUUUGGUCUUACUGCCGACAGCUUCCUUGAGGAUGAUGGUCACUGGACCAAGAGUGAAGAAUGCUGUCAAGUUGAGCAGAGUAUCUGCUUACUGAAUUCAGAACCUCCUAUUGAUGAUAUGAUAGAGGAUCAUGACACCACUUUUGUUUUAUAUAUCUCUGUUACAUGUAUACUCUUAUCAUUUGUAAAUAAAAUAUUUCUAACAAUAUUCUUUUGUUCUCCA